rnacentral:rRNA from 1 species
GAAAGGCCAAUCAAACCGGGAGAUAGCUGGUUCUCCCCGAAAGCUAUUUAGGUAGCGCCUCGUGAACUCAUCUUCGGGGGUAGAGCACUGUUUCGGCUAGGGGGUCAUCCCGACUUACCAACCCGAUGCAAACUACGAAUACCGAAGAAUGUUAUCACGGGAGACACACGGCGGGUGCUAACGUCCGUCGUGAAGAGGGAAACAACCCAGACCGCCAGCUAAGGUCCCAAAGUCAUGGUUAAGUGGGAAACGAUGUGGGAAGGCACAGACAGCCAGGAUGUUGGCUUAGAAGCAGCCAUCAUUUAAAGAAAGCGUAAUAGCUCACUGGUCGAGUCGGCCUGCGCGGAAGAUGUAACGGGGCUAAACCAUGCACCGAAGCUGCGGCAGCGACACUAUGUGUUGUUGGGUAGGGGAGCGUUCUGUAAGCCUGCGAAGGUGUGCUGUGAGGCAUGCUGGAGGUAUCAGAAGUGCGAAUGCUGACAUAAGUAACGAUAAAGCGGGUGAAAAGCCCGCUCGCCGGAAGACCAAGGGUUCCUGUCCAACGUUAAUCGGGGCAGGGUGAGUCGACCCCUAAGGCGAGGCCGAAAGGCGUAGUCGAUGGGAAACAGGUUAAUAUUCCUGUACUUGGUGUUACUGCGAAGGGGGGACGGAGAAGGCUAUGUUAGCCGGGCGACGGUUGUCCCGGUUUAAGCAUGUAGGCUGAUUGUCCAGGCAAAUCCGGAUAAUCAAGGCUGAGGUGUGAUGACGAGGCACUACGGUGCUGAAGUAACAAAUGCCCUGCUUCCAGGAAAAGCCUCUAAGCAUCAGGUAACAUUAAAUCGUACCCCAAACCGACACAGGUGGUCAGGUAGAGAAUACCAAGGCGCUUGAGAGAACUCGGGUGAAGGAACUAGGCAAAAUGGUGCCGUAACUUCGGGAGAAGGCACGCUGGUGUGUAGGUGAAGUCCCUGCGGAUGGAGCUGAGACCAGUCGAAGAUACCAGCUGGCUGCAACUGUUUAUUAAAAACACAGCACUGUGCAAACACGAAAGUGGACGUAUACGGUGUGACGCCUGCCCGGUGCCGGAAGGUUAAUUGAUGGGGUUAUCCGUAAGGAGAAGCUCUUGAUCGAAGCCCCGGUAAACGGCGGCCGUAACUAUAACGGUCCUAAGGUAGCGAAAUUCCUUGUCGGGUAAGUUCCGACCUGCACGAAUGGCGUAAUGAUGGCCAGGCUGUCUCCACCCGAGACUCAGUGAAAUUGAACUCGCUGUGAAGAUGCAGUGUACCCGCGGCAAGACGGAAAGACCCCGUGAACCUUUACUAUAGCUUGACACUGAACAUUGAGCCUUGAUGUGUAGGAUAGGUGGGAGGCUUUGAAGCGUGGACGCCAGUCUGCGUGGAGCCAACCUUGAAAUACCACCCUUUAAUGUUUGAUGUUCUAACGUUGGCCCCUGACCGGGGUUGCGGACAGUGUCUGGUGGGUAGUUUGACUGGGGCGGUCUCCUCCCAAAGCGUAACGGAGGAGCACGAAGGUUAGCUAAUCCUGGUCGGACAUCAGGAGGUUAGUGCAAUGGCAUAAGCUAGCUUGACUGCGAGCGUGACGGCGCGAGCAGGUGCGAAAGCAGGUCAUAGUGAUCCGGUGGUUCUGAAUGGAAGGGCCAUCGCUCAACGGAUAAAAGGUACUCCGGGGAUAACAGGCUGAUACCGCCCAAGAGUUCAUAUCGACGGCGGUGUUUGGCACCUCGAUGUCGGCUCAUCACAUCCUGGGGCUGAAGUAGGUCCCAAGGGUAUGGCUGUUCGCCAUUUAAAGUGGUACGCGAGCUGGGUUUAGAACGUCGUGAGACAGUUCGGUCCCUAUCUGCCGUGGGCGCUGGAGAAUUGAGGGGGGCUGCUCCUAGUACGAGAGGACCGGAGUGGACGCAUCACUGGUGUUCGGGUUGUCAUGCCAAUGGCACUGCCCGGUAGCUAAAUGCGGAAGAGAUAAGUGCUGAAAGCAUCUAAGCACGAAACUUGCCCCGAGAUGAGUUCUCCCUGAGACUUUAAGUCUCCUGAAGGAACGUUAAAGACGAUGACGUUGAUAGGCCGGGUGUGUAAGCGCAGCGAUGCGUUGAGCUAACCGGUACUAAUGAACCGUGAGGCUUAACCUU